CCUACGGGUGGCUGCAGUAAGGAAUAUUGGUCAAUGGGCGCAAGCCUGAACCAGCCAUGCCGCGUGCAGGAAGACGGCCCUACGGGUUGUAAACUGCUUUUGUCGGGGAAUAAACCUCUUUACGUGUAAAGAGUUGAAUGUACUCGAAGAAUAAGGAUCGGCUAACUCCGUGCCAGCAGCCGCGGUAAUACGGAGGAUCCAAGCGUUAUCCGGAUUUAUUGGGUUUAAAGGGUGCGUAGGCGGCCUAUUAAGUCAGGGGUGAAAGACGGUGGCUC
rnacentral:rRNA from 1 species